UCCUUCACGCUCACAUUGACAGCAUCUCCGUUCCCCAGGGUGGUUGGAAAAAUGAGUCAGAGUCCACCACGUCUCCUUCUCAGGGCUGGCCUUGCUGAAAUGUCCGUGGCAGUGUCGGCACUCGGGCCCAAAGGACGGGAGCGUCAAGGGGCUACUGAUGGAACCGGGGUGCGUGGCCCACGUGGCCGCAGGGAGCCUGGAAGGUGAGCCGUCAUCAGGAAGCAUGGCCGCCCCAACAAGCUCAGG